rnacentral:rRNA from 1 species
AGAAGUCUAUCUUACGCGCAAGCCAAUGGGCAUACCACAUACCAUGUGCAGAAGUGCUGCCGGUAUAUUAUAACCAUUAAACCCACAGGCGAAGACAACUCGAUUGUCACGGGAUUACGGGCACGGAUAGGUGGCGCAAGCCCCUUAUAGAACCGAGCCCCUCCAUCCCAGGGUGCUCCGUCACGGGUGCUUGCACCCAGCGGGCAUCCCCGGAGUGCGCAGGAUGUGACCCGAAAGAUGGUGAACUAUGCUUGAUCAGGUCGAAGUCAGGGGAAACCCUGAUGGAGGACCGAAGCAAUUCUGACGUGCAAAUCGAUUGUCAGAGUUGAGCAUAGGGGCGAAAGACCAAUCGAACCAUCUAGUAGCUGGUUCCCUCCGAAGUCAACAUGGUUCAAGUGAGCGAUAAUCACGCUCUACGCUCAGUAUGACAGCUGCAAGGCAAUCACUCGCUAAGUUCAGAGCU